AUUGAACGCUGGCGGAAUGCUUUACACAUGCAAGUCGAGCGGCAGCGCGGGGCAACCUGGCGGCGAGCGGCGAACGGGUGAGUAAUGCAUCGGAACAUGUCCAUGUCGUGGGGGAUAGCCCGGCGAAAGCCGGAUUAAUACCGCAUACGCCCGAGAGGGGAAAGCAGGGACCGGCAAAGGCCUUGCGCGAUUGGUUGGCCGAUGUCCGAUUAGCUUGUUGGUGAGGUAAAGGCUUACCAAGGCGAUGAUCGGUAGCUGGUCUGAGAGGAUGAUCAGCCACACUGGGACUGAGACACGGCCCAGACUCCUAC
rnacentral:rRNA from 1 species